AUUGAACGCUGGCGGCAGGCCUAACACAUGCAAGUCGAGCGGAUGAAGGGAGCUUGCUCCUGGAUUCAGCAGCGGACGGGUGAGUAAUGCCUAGGAAUCUGCCUGGUAGUGGGGGAUAACGUCCGGAAACGGGCGCUAAUACCGCAUACGUCCUGAGGGAGAAAGUGGGGGAUCUUCGGACCUCACGCUAUCAGAUGAGCCUAGGUCGGAUUAGCUAGUUGGUGGGGUAAAGGCCUACCAAGGCGACGAUCCGUAACUGGUCUGAGGGGAUGAUCAGUCACACUGGAACUGAGACACGGUCCAGACUCCUACGGGAGGCAGCAGUGGGGAAUAUUGGACAAUGGGCGAAAGCCUGAUCCAGCCAUGCCGCGUGUGUGAAGAAGGUCUUCGGAUUGUAAAGCACUUUAAGUUGGGAGGAAGGGCAGUAAGUUAAUACCUUGCUGUUUUGACGUUACCAACAGAAUAAGCACCGGCUAACUUCGUG
rnacentral:rRNA from 1 species